UACGGAGGGUGCGAGCGUUGUCCGGAAUCACUGGGCGUAAAGGGCGCGUAGGCGGCGCGGGUAGUCAUCGGUGAAAGUUCAGGGCUCAACUCUGAAUCGGCCGGUGAUACUCCCGUGCUCGAGCACUGUAGAGGCAGGUGGAAUUCCGGGUGUAGGCGGUGGAAUGCGUAGAGAUCCGGAAGAACACCGGUGGCGAAGGCGGCCUGCUGGG
rnacentral:rRNA from 1 species